GAUCCUGACUCAGGAUGAACGCUGGCGGCGUGCCUAAUACAUGCAAGUCGAGCGAACAGACGAGGAGCUUGCUCCUCUGACGUUAGCGGCGGACGGGUGAGUAACACGUGGAUAACCUACCUAUAAGACUGGGAUAACUUCGGGAAACCGGAGCUAAUACCAGAUAACAUGUUGAACCGCAUGGUUCAACAGUGAAAGACGGUCUUGCUGUCACUUAUAGAUGGAUCCGCGCCG
rnacentral:rRNA from 1 species